CCCCACUUGAGACCUCCCUCCAAUCUGACAUCAUUCCAUUAAUAGUUACUCUUUGUUUGCGGUUGUUUAGACAAUUAUGUAUCCAUUUAAUAGUACCUGCACUGAGACUGU